UGAAAAGAAGACUCUCCAUUCCCUGAAAUAUAACUCUGGACAACUUGUUGGGAGUCGGUCUCAAUGAUGAUGUUGCCAGCUGUAAUAUAUUUGAG